UACGGCUCAGUAACACGUGGACAACCUACCCUCCGGACGGGUAUAAACCCGGGAAACUGGGUAUAAUCCCCGAUAGAUCUCGGUCGCUGGAAAGCCCCGAGAUCGAAAGCUCCGGCGCCAGAGGAUGGGUCUGCGGCCUAUCAGGUAGUAGUGGGUGUAGCGUACCUACUAGCCUACGACGGGUACGGGUUGUGAGAGCAAGAGCCCGGAGAUGGAUUCUGAGACACGAAUCCAGGCCCUACGGGGUGCAGCAGGCGCGAAAACUUUACAAUGCCGGCAACGGCGAUAAGGGGACCUCGAGUGCCAGGUUACAAAUCUGGCUGUCGUGAUGCCUAAAAAGCAUUGCAUAGCAAGGGCCGGGCAAGACCGGUGCCAGCCGCCGCGGUAACACCGGCGGCUCGAGUGGUAACCGUUAUUAUUGGGUCUAAAGGGUCUGUAGCCGGCCAGAUAAGUCUCUUGAGAAAUCCAGCAGCUCAACUGUUGGGCUUUCAGGAGAUACUGUCUGGCUCGAGGCCGGGAGAGGUGAGAGGUACUUCAGGGGUAGGGGUGAAAUCUUGUAAUCCUUGAAGGACCACCAGUGGCGAAGGCGUCUCACCAGAACGGACCUGACGGCAAGGGACGAAAGCUAGGGGCACGAACCGGAUUAGAUACCCGGGUAGUCCUAGCCGUAAACGAUACUCGCUAGGUGUCGGCCACGGUGCGACCGUUGUCGGUGCCGUAGGGAAGCCGUGAAGCGAGCCACCUGGGAAGUACGGCCGCAAGGCUGAAACUUAAAGGAAUUGGCGGGGGAGCACA
rnacentral:rRNA from 1 species